AUGUGGCAAAAGGUCGCAAAGUUCAAGGGGGCUGAAUACUUUCGCAAGGCACUGUACCUCUCUCUCUCCUCGCCCUCUCUCCAUCUCUCUCCUGUCCUUCGCCUCCUCUCCCAUCUGCCCAUCUCCUUUCCUCUCUCCUCUCUCUCUCUCUCUCUCUCCUCUCUCUCCCUCUCUCCUUUCCUUUCUCCCCUCCUCCCUGCCCGUCUCCUUUACCCUCCUCCCUCCAUCUCUCCCUUUCCUUUCUUCCCCUCCUCUCUCCAUCUGCCCGUCUCCUUUACCUCUCUCUCCUCUCCAUCUCUUCUCUUUCCUUUCUCCUCCUCUCUCCGUCUGCGCCGUCUCCUUUACCUCUCUCUCUCUCUCCUCUCCAUCUCUCCUUUCCUUUCUUCUCCUCUUUCCGUCUGCCCGUCUCCUUUACCUCUCUCUCUCUCCUCUCCAUCUCUCCUUUCCUUUCUCCUCCUCUCUCCAUCUGCCCGCCUCCUUUACCUCCUCACUCUCCAAUCUCCUUUCCUCUCCUCCUCUCUCCGUCUGCCCGUCUCCUUUACCUCUCUCUCUCCUCUCCACUCUCCUUUCCUUUUUCUCCUCCUCUCUCCAUCGUGCCACACUCCUUUACCUCUCUCUCUCCUCUCCAUCUCUCUCUCUUUCCUUCUCCUCCUCCUUCCAUCUGCCAUCUCCUUUACUCUCUCUCCUCUCCAUCUCUCCUUUCCAUUUCCUCCUCUCUCUGUCUGCCCGUCUCCUUUACCUCUCCUCUCUCCUCUCCAUCUCUCCUUCCUUCUCCUCCUCUCUCCGUCUGCCCACUCCUUACCUCUCUCUCUCCUCUCCACUCUCCUUUCCUUUCUCCUUCUCCUCCUCUCGUCUGCCCGUCUCCUUUCCUCCCUCUCUCCUCUCCAUCUCUCCUUUCCUUUCCUCCUCCUCUCUUCUCCGUCUUCCCGUCUUUUUUUACAUCUCCAUCUCUCCUUUCCAUCUCUCUUUUGCUUUCUCCUCCUCUCUCCGUCUGCCCGUCUCCUUUACCUCUCCUCUCCUCUCUCCUCUUCUCUCCCCUCUUCUGUCUGCCCAUCUGCUCUGUACCUCUCCUCUCUUCUUCAGUAUGAGGAGGUGCGCAGGGAGCUGCAGUGUGUACAGAGGGAAUUACAGGGGGCUCGUGAGGAGGUGCAGGCAGGUGUCUGUGUGCGGGAGCAUCUCUCUCAGGAUCUCCAAGUGAAACAGACCCAGGUGUGA
rnacentral:lncRNA from 1 species